rnacentral:rRNA from 1 species
GCGGCGGACGGGUGAGUAAUGCCUAGGAAUCUGCCUAGUAGUGGGGGAUAACUUGCCAAAAGGUAAGCUAAUACCGCAUACGUCCUACGGGAGAAAGCAGGGGACUCUUCGGAGCCUUGCGCUAUUAGAUGAGCCUAGGUCGGAUUAGUUAGUUGGUGAGGUAAUGGCUCACCAAGACUGCGAUCCGUAACUGGUCUGAAAGGAUGAUCAGUCACACUGGAACUGAGACACGGUCCAGACUCCUACGGGAGGCAGCAGUGGGGAAUAUUGGACAAUGGGGGAAACCCUGAUCCAGCCAUGCCGCGUGUGUGAAGAAGGUCUUAGGAUUGUAAAGCACUUUAAGUUGGGAGGAAGGGCAGUUAACUAAUACUUGACUGUUUUGACGUUACCGACAGAAUAAGCACCGGCUAACUUCGUGCCAGCAGCCGCGGUAAUACGAAGGGUGCAAGCGUUAAUCGGAAUUACUGGGCGUAAAGCGCGCGUAGGUGGUUCGUUAAGUUAGGAGUGAAAGCCCCGG